rnacentral:rRNA from 1 species
UGAGGAAUCUUGCGCAAUGGGGGAAACCCUGACGCAGCAACGCCGCGUGAGUGAGGAAGGUCUUCGGAUCGUAAAGCUCUGUCAGUUGGGAAGAAAUGCUUGAGGGUUAAUACCCCUUAGGCUUGACGGUACCAACAGAGGAAGCACCGGCUAACUCCGUGCCAGCAGCCGCGGUAAUACGGGGGGUGCAAGCGUUGUUCGGAAUUAUUGGGCGGAAAGAGGGUGUAGGCGGCCUGAUGUGUCAGAUGUGAAAGCCCUGGGCUUAACCCAGGAAGUGCAGUUGAAACUGGCAGGCUGGAGUAGGGGAGAGGGAAGUGGAAUUCCUGGUGUAGAGGUGAAAUUCGUAGAUAUCAGGAGGAACACCGGUGGCGAAGGCGACUUCCUGGCCCUAUACUGACGCUGAGACGCGAGAGCGUGGGUAGCAAACA